GGGCCAUAGCUCAGUGGUGGAACAUUUGCUCUGCAUGCAGAAGAUCCCAUGUCCAAUUCCUGGCAUCCCCA